GUUCAAUGCCCAGAUCUGCAGCGAACCGGAAGUCUUUGAAGAAGUAUUCCGCUAUAUGUUUUUGUGAACCAAAAGGCUUACUCUCAGUGUUCCAGUUUAUAAUGUCAAAAAUGCUCUUUCGGAAGUCUUCAGGCUCAAAUGAAAAAAAAUUCCAUUUCUCAAAAAUAUAUCCUAUAUAUAUGAGGGUAUUUUGGUCCAAAAAAUUUAAUUGUAGGGGUAUGGGUACAAUUGUAGGGGUACCAACUUUCGCUGCAAAAACUUUCGCUGCAAAAUAAAUAGGUUGAAGCUCAAAAGGCAUAGAACCAAUGCGGAUAUCUCCUUCUCUCCCUCAUCUCACAGUCUUAUAUUUCACAAUUCCCUCUGCCGCAUCGAAGCUUCCGACGACGGAGAAACUUCUAAUCCCUAAUCAAGAAUAACAUCCACCUCAAUCUGAUGCCUAAUCCGAAACUACUGAUAUACUAAAUUUGUUCAAACGCGAGCUGUGAAAUCGAAAUCAAAGAACGUCGAGCCCUAUCUAUGAGGUUCGGAAAUAAAACGAAAAUGGAGGGGAAUCGAGCCACUCCACCGCGGGGCUUUGAUUCCCCUCAUUGAAGGCUACACGAUGGUGGGAAGUUCAGAGCAAGAUGGAAGAAAAAGAGGAGAAUCACCAAACUGUAAUAAGACCGAGAUUUUUCUUGGAUUUUGUUGCCACUGAAGAUGAAGUUUGCGUCGAGAACAGCAGAGAAUCGAACCGGAUUCGCUGCUAAAAUACAGGAUGCUCUGUGUUUAUAAUACUGUCGAACUCGUAUCCAUGCAGAAGAGCUUCGGUGAGGAAGGUCCUUGGAGAUGUAGCCCAAACAGUCAAGUAAAGCAGCACAAAAUUCGAACCUGUUAAACUCUUCCCUGUUACAGAUGUGAGAAGAAACCUCCAACAAUGAAUGUAGGAGAAAUCCAAGUACGCCGGGUCAAAACACUUCCUCCACACUGGCCAAUACAAAACAACUAUGGUUGCAAGUGUGAAUGACUUUACUGAGUUAAUUUCUUUCUGUUAGUUAUGUUAGAUUGCUAUUUAAGAUGGUUAGUUAGUUGUGUAGUGUUGGUUCUGUUAGUGCGAAGAAUUGGUUAACCAAAGUGGAUCUAGUUGUUACGGUUUGAGGUGGAUUGGUAGAUGUUUGGUUAAUUUAUGUCAUGAGAAAUUUGGCCUUGUUCUGUUAUGUGAAUUGAUCAGUUGGAACUGAAGUUGCAGGUGAUGUUCUUUGUACUGCUGCUACGGUGGUGGACACUUUCUUUUCUUCUUCUCAUAGAUAAUACCUCUUGCUUUGGAUUGAAGAUCAUGGUGCACUAUUUGAAUCCCACACCUGUGGCAAACAACAAGAGAGUUCAUUCAGAACAAUCCAUUCCUAUGAUACAAGCAAUGAAGAACUAUAUUGUCAAACACGGCUUGCAAUAUAAGUGAGUGCAUUGGACUGAUUUAGGUGUAAUUGUAUAUGAAUUGCUUGAAAAUGUAAACUGGACAAUUAGUAAUUAAUGUACGGUUGGAGAUGAAAUGUAGUGGUUUAUGUACAAUUGGCAAUGCAUUAUGAAACACUUUUAUAUUAUGAUUUUGUGGACAUGUAGAACAAGAUAGUGUAACGGUUUAUUAUUGAAAUGAAAUCAAAUUGGAUUUGUCAUGUUUUGGAAGUA